UUUUCUUCAAUCCAAACAUGACCUUAGAGGACUAGGAGAGUAUUGUGGCUAAAUUAACAAAAUGUAAUCAUAUAAGAUUAAAAGAGAUCGUUUCCUUUUUAACAAUUAUGUAUGGAGUUAAUUUGUUUUAGAAAGAGAUUCAAGAAGAGAGCACAUAAUUAAGCCAACAUGUAUAGACCUAUUCACUUAAUCAACACAUCACAAAAGAGUAGUAGCACUAUAAGCAUGCACUUAACCCUCUGUAAUCAGAAUUUCUCCCAUAUUGAGGGACAAUAAGAAGAUCAAUAUUUUCAUUCAUGAUAGUAUCAUCAGCAAUGCUAUCCCAAAACGCUGUGAAACCCUCCAACCAAUUAUUCUUACCUGAAAUUGUCAUAUUCAAAAACUUAAUAUGAAUGCAUAUGCUUAUUAAAAUGAAAAUUAUAAAUGACAUUCAAAUGAAGUUGGCCAAAAACCUGCGCAGGUGGUUUCCAUUCUUGAAUUCAGAAAAGAUCUCUGCUUCGGAAUCAAAACUCAAAAGAAAUUAAUUAAGUUGCUUUUGCGAGUUCUUGCUUCUGGUUUGAAAUGAUAUACGUGUAUAUAUAGCGAUUGCCCACUCUGCUAUUUUGGUGGGUGGUUGGUGUUAGGAAAUUGAACUUCCUCCCAAGAUCUCUUCAAGCAAUUUAUCAAGCAACAAAUUAAUAAGAAAAUUAAAUGGAGAAUACACCAAUCAAACAACACAAGAUUUACGUGGAAAACUCCAAAUCCGGAGAAAAACCACGGCCGUUGUCACAAGACAACCAGAGAAAAAUAUUCACUAUGUGGAAAAUUAUUACAACCACUCUCAUAAAUAAUUUUCUCUCACCCAAACCCCAAAUACAUAAUCCUGAGAAAUACCCCUUAACAAAGCAAACUCGUAAUACCCAUAUUAAGGAGCCAAAUGCUCCUUCAAUAUAACUACAUGCUUAAGAAUAUUUCUCUUUCUCAAUUUCUCACCAAAACUUGGAUUCCUUCUCUGGGAUUUUGGAUACCAAGCUCUCGAAUGAGAGCUUCCUUUUAUAGGCAAGAUUUUGCCUAAAAUCAAGCCCACCAAUCUUGAUCAAAAUUGGUGGCUUAUCCAUCAAAUUUGAUCAACAAAUUUGGUCAACAAAUUUGGUGGUUAAGCCACCAAAUUUGAAGCUACCUUUCUUUUUUCCUCUUUUUUUUUUAAUCAAUUUUCAACAGUUGGGACGUAGUUUAUGCAUGCAUGCAUGGCAUAUUUUUAUUAUUUAUUUACGUCAAUUAAAUUUAUAAAAUUAUUGGAGAGUUGGUAGCAAGUCUUUUGCAUUGUUGACAUUUCUUUGUGGGUUCUAUGACGUACAAAGGAUAAGGGAAAAAUAAACUAGGAAAUAUAGUAUUUGAGUUUAAUUAGUGUUUAGUAUUUUAUUAGAAUUAAUCUUGUUUUAGGUAGUGUAAUUGUUUUAAUCGUACUUGUAAUGGUAGUUUAUUGAUUAUUUAAGAGUAUUUGUCUUAUUUGAGAAUAAUUAUGAUUAAGUUAGCUACCAGUAUAUAACUAGAGUUAUUCAUAAUUAUUAUCAUAGUUUUCAAAUCUUUCAUCAAUAAUAAUAUUGACUUUAUUUUUUAUGUUGGAAGUUGGUUGGGAUAAAAUAAGUUAAGAAUUGUAGAUCUUUUUGUCAAGUUUAUUAAGAUUUAUCUUAUUUAGUUUAUUAAUUUUAAGAAAUUAAUGGAGAUUUGGUAGCAAGUCUCUUUUUCAUUGUUGACAAUUUCUUCGUAGGAUUUAUUUCUUAGCUGCGGGCGUAGCAUAUGUUAUUUAUUGUACAUCGGCAUCGAUAAAAUUUAGAGUAUUGUUAUAUGUGUACUGAAAUAGCACAACAUUUAAUUUAAAAUGCAGAAAUGAUAAAAACAUAUUAUCUUGUAGUAAUUUUUUUUGUAAUUAAAUUUUUUUAUGUGAUAUGUUGUUUUUUAUGUACAUAUUAUUGUCUCAAGAUUUAAUAUCAAUUUUGAUUGCGAUGUCAAACAUAUUACAUAUCUAAGUUUUUUGAAAUCUUGGUUAGUAAAAUCUCUUUUAGUGAAGAUCUUACAUCUUGACCUAACAUAAACUAAUGGCGGAAAUGAUUAUUUAAACCAUGGAUGAACCAACUCUUUACAAAAUAUUAUUUGUCAGGUGCAGUACGUAAAGUAAUUGGGAGCUCGGAUAGGGAUCGCUUUAGGAUCCUAUGAUCUUGAACCUUCUCAAUCAUGAACUAAAAUCAUUGUUCAUUAUUUCGUGUAAACAUGAAAAUUAUAAUGAUCAUUUUGUACAAAAUUAUGGUGAUAUAUGUUCAUUAUAGAAUAAUAAUAUAUAAGAAUUCCCCCAACAAGGUGGGUUUUAAUUUUUACCAUUCACCUUAUCCACAGCCACAUCAACAUUCAAUUUAUACCAACCCACUGGAGGCAUCUCCCAUCUCUCAACAGAUAUAUCUCUAUUAGACUGUUCAGAAUCCUUACUAAUAGAUUGCAUACAAACAAAAGAUUGGAACAGCCCUUCAAUUCGUUCAACAACAUGUGACGCCACCAUUUUAACAUUCUCAAACAACCAUUUAUUUCGAGCUUCCCAAAUACCCCACAGAGUCAGCACAAAUAGAGACAAGUCAGUAUGUGUAAGCUCAUACCUUGCAAAUUUAAACAGCCCUCACAAAUCAUAGUUUAUAUUCCGUGCACACUCAACUCCCAAAACUUAAUGUCCACACCUCUUCGGCCCAGUCACAUCCUACCAAUGCAUGCAUCACUGAUUCCUCCACAUGUCCACACACACGACAAUUUGAAACAUUUACAACUCGUUUUUCCUUUAAUUUUUCCAUUGUAGGCAAAAUAUUUGAAAGAGCUCGCCAAAGGAAAAUUCUCACCUUGGGAGGAACAUUUAGGGAAACUAAGACUUUAUUAUUACUAUUAUGAUCAAAUCAUGUAUUUUUUAAUGUAUAUAAGAAACAGAACUAAGGAAAAAUGGAAGGAUAUUAAUCAUUCUAAUCAAAGGUUAAUUAGCUAGCAUUUUGGCAGUUCUGGUCACAUUAUCCUAACGAAAUGAUGUUUUGGAAGGAAACUAAGACUCGAUUAUUGCUAUUGUUAGACCAAAUUAUGAAAGGCCCAAAUCCUCAAAAAAAUAUAGGCUCAAUAAAAAUAUUUUAUAUGAAAUAACCUAGGUCCAUUCUCUAUAAGAAUGGCUUAGGUAUUUAAAUUCUAAAUAAAGUGUCUAAAUGUAAAAUACAACAAAACGCCAAAAGCAUAAUUCUACAAAGAAAGACUUAGAUCCAUUCUUUUCAAAGAAUGACUUAGGUAGGUUUUAGGUAGGUUUUGGAAUAUAAGAGAAAGGGACAAAACUUAACUAGGAACAAAGAAUUUAUUUUUGGGAUGCAAAGUGCCUCACUUAAUCGAGGGAUGUAGGUUGUUCUAGGCUCUUAUAGAGAUUAAAGAAGAAUGGGCAGAGGAUGGUUAUGGUGAGAAGUUUAGAUUUGUUGAGUCCGUCUUAUUUGGGUGGCUCAAGCCCAAAGUUAAAUAAGUUUAGGCAAUUAAGUAAUUAAAGAAAAAGAAAAUGAUUGACACACCCCCAAUGUUUAGAUAAAGGGACAAAAAAUCCAUUAAUGUUUCGAAAAAGACAUAUACACUCCCAUUUACUAACGAAAACCGUUUCUUUUAAUAGAAUUUGUAAUUUUAACAUGUAAUUACCAGUAUACCCUUCUAGCACAUAAAAAAUUAAUUGUUGAUCGUCCAAUUUGUCCAUAUACUUUUAAUAAAAUUAUGAAUAUACCCUCAUUACCUAAUUCCUCUAUUUAAAUUUUUGUCAAACUUUCUCUUCAAAUAAAUAAAAUUGAUUAUUAAUGUCAUAAGAAUAACAAUUCUCCACAUGUCAAUCAGUUAAACUUGUAUAAUCAACAAAAAAAAAUAAUCAUGCUUAAAUAAUCAUAAAUGAUUGACAUAUGAAGAAUUGUUAUUCUUAUGGCAUUAAUAACCAAUUUUAUUUAUUUUUAUUCUUCAGUAAUGGAUUAAAUUUAUUUGGUUUGAAGAGAAAAUUUGACAAAAAUUUAAAUAGAGGAAUUGGGUAAUGAGGGUAUAUUCAUAAUUUUAUAAAACAUAUGGACAAAUUGGACAAUCAACAAUUACUUUUUUAUAUGCUAGAAGGGUAUAACGGUAAUUACAUGUUAAAAUUAUAAAUUAUGUUAAAAGAAACAGUUUUCGAAAGUAAAUGUUGGUGUGGAUGUCUUUUUCCAAACAUUAUGGGUUUUUUUUCAUUUAUCUAAACGUUGGAGGUGUGUCAGUCCUUUUUUCUUAAAGAAACAUUGAGGGGCUAAGUGAAAUUUUACAAUAAAAUUUGACUAUAUAAACAAGCAUAGGUCUGUGCGUGCAGGGGAAGUCGCGAGAGAGAGAGAGAGAAAAAAAAAAGCUAGUAGAGUUUUUUAAUUUGGGGGCAAGAUUUUUAAUCUUUAAUUGAGUGAUCGAAAGAUGAAAUUAACUCCGUUUUCUCCUAAAUUUUGAGGGUAAGUUCCUAAUAUCACCCUCUACAAUCUUAUUGGUCUUGAUUUUUAUUUUAUCCUCUCUUUGGCUAUUAUUUGAGAUACCCACAUGUUAGAGAGGCAAUUAUUAGGCUAUUAUUGUAAGCUAAGAAUAUUGAGAUUCUUGAUGUUGUUAGCCUCUAGUUAGCUAGAAAAGAAUUUGUGCUGUAAUCUCAUUAAUAUAGUGGAAGAUUAUAUCGAACUACAGUCCCGUGGUUUUUCCCGCUUUGGCUUUUCCACAUAAAAAUUUAUGUCUCUUGUGGUUGGUUUUUUCUUUGAAUUUUGCUAGUCUAUUUUUCUGCCUAUUUAUUUGUGGUACACAUUCUAUUUUAAUCAUACAAAGAGAGAAAGAAUUUUAUUUCUACUUAAUUUGCAGCUGCUUGUAGUAGUCCCUUUCCUAACAAGAUCUUGGAGAGAGAGAGAAUUUGAAAAGAUGCUCUUGACUAGCAAAAAAACAAAAAGGAGGUUAGAGAUGGAAUCGGUAGUGGCUGGCGAUCACUCUCUAAUGUUCAAGUCAGAUUUUAGGACUAUUUUGGUGUCAAAAGCUUGCAAGCUCUUGAUAAUGGCAGUUGAAAAUUGAAGAUUGACUCACCUUUCGCGGAGUUGUGUUUUUUAGUUAUGAAUUAGAAAAAUAGAACUUUGGUGUCAUUAUAUAGGGUACCCUAGCUACCUUGCCACCUAGAGCAUUUCCAUUCGCAAUUUGCUUUUUUUACAAAGAUUUUUCGUCCUUUUACGCUUAUCAUCAUUUAGGUCGUCAGGAUUAUUCUUGGAAAGCACAUAAAUUGUCCACUUUUACAUGUGGUGCAUGUUGCUACGUGGUCCAACAUACUUCUACAAAGACUGUCUUGGUAGUUUCUGGAUUGCCAGUUAUGGAGCACUAUCCUUAAUGUGUUGUUUUGCUCUUUUUAUAGGUGUGACAGCCUGCCGUCCCCUCUUUUUCAGUAAAAUAUUCCUUAAUUGAUCUAGAAAAUCAGUUAUUCUCUUUGGAUGAUGGAGAUAUUUCAGUGGCUUCUAUUUUGUGUAUUUCUCUAACCAACCUUUACAUGGUGUAUUCCACGUACCAUUUCGAUCACCUGGGUACCUCAGAUAAGCCAGCUUCUUCUUUGUGAUUUCUUAUAUUAUUUUACUCCUUUUCUUGACACGUGGUAUUCUCUUAUUUAUUCCCCAAACACUAGGUCCACUCCUUACAAAAAAUUACCUAGGUUCUAUACAUAUAAAGAAUGAUCUAGGUCCACCUUUUACAAAGAACGACAUAGGUUUAUUCCUUAUAAAAAAUUACCUAGGUACUUAAAAGUAUUUCUAAGUAAAAUGCGUAAAAGAUAAGUCUUCGAUAAAGCACCAAAGGCUUGAUUCUUCAAAGAAUGAUCUAGUUCUAUUCUAUACAAAGAAUGACUUACGUCCACAUUUUACAAAGAACAACUUAUAUCUAUUCCUUACAAAGAAUAUCUGGGUAAUUCGAAAAUAUUUCUAAGUAAAAUGCUUAAAGAGCGAGUCUUCAAUAAUUUAUCAAAAAGCAUGAUUUUUUUAAGAAUUACCUAGAUCCAUUCUUUACGAAGAAUUGCAUAGACCCAUGUUUUACAAAGAACAACUUAGAUCUAUUACAAAGAACGACUUAGGCAUUUAAAAAAUAUUUUUAUGUAAAAUGCCUAAAGGGCGAGUCUUCAAUAAAGCGUCAAAUGCGUGAUUCUGCAAAAAAAUGACCUAAGUCCAUUCUUCAAAAAACAUGACCUAGAUUCACUAAUUAUAAAGAACGACCUAGGUCCAUCCCAAACAAAAAAUAACCUAGGCACUUAAAAGAAUUUCUAAGUAAAACACCCAAGGGGAAAGUCUUUGACAAAACGCCAAGACGUGAUUCAUCAAAGAAUGACCAAGUUUCAUUAUUCACAAAAAAUGACCUAGGUCCACUUUUUACAAAGAAUGACCUAUGCACUUAGAAAAUGUUUCCAAGUAAAAAGCCUAAACGGUAAGUUUUCGACAAAGCACUGAAGGCAUGAUUCAACAAAGAAAGACCUAAGUUCAUUCUUUACAAAGAAUGAUCUAAUCAUUUAAAAAAUAUUUCUAAGUAAGAGCCUAUGGGCAAAUAAACAUUCUAUAAAAUACGCCUAGUAAGUAUAUAUUCUACAUAAUGUACCUACGGGCAAUAUACAAUACACAUGCUAUAGAAUGAACAUGCAAUCAAAUAUACAUUCUAUGGAAUACACCUAUGAAUAAAUACACAUUCUACGAAAUGCGCCUAUGUGUAAAUAUAUAUUCUACAAAAUCAGUCCGUGGGCAAGUACACAUUCUACUGAAUGCAUCUACAAGCAACAUACAUUUUACGAAAUGCGCUUACAGUAAAUAUACAUUCUACGGAAUACACCUUCGGGCAAAUACGUAUUCUACAGAAUUAGCUUACGGGCAAAUAUACAUUGCACGGAGCUAGGGUGUUAAAAAUACCCGCCUAAUCUGAACCCAGAUCGGACCUAGAUUACACGGGCUGUGUAUCACCCUAGCAAUACCUGGCCCGGAGAUGAAGUCAGGCCAGUCCUAACCAUCACUUGAUAAGCCUGCGACCUGGCCCAGAACUCAGAUUUUAUAAAAAAUAUUAUAAAAUAUAUAUUAUUUUAAAUAGUUAUAUUUAUUUGACCUAUUUAUUACAUAUAUGUAAAAUUUUAAACAUUUAACGUUCAUAUCUUCAUGCUCAAUUUCAUUGAAUUAAAUUUAAAAAUUACAAAAAAAAACAUAUAUAAUAUUAAAAAAUAUAACCCAAUACAAAAAACCCGAUAAAACAUUUGGCCCAAUGUUGGCCUUUUUAAGCCUGGCCUAAGUGUCUAAAAAUUACAUUCAAGUUAGAUCUAGGCAUUGCUAUACUUGACAUGGACCCAGAUUUUGCCAGCUCUACUAUGGACAAAUACGCAUUCUACGAAAUGCGCUUAUAGUCAUAUAUGCAUACUAAGGAAUGCACUUACAUGUAAAUAAAUAUUCUAUUGAAUGCGCCCAUGGCCAAAACGUUCUAUGUAAUGCGCCUACAGGCGAAUAUAUAAAUCUUAUGAACUACACUUACGAGCAAAAUAUUGUAAAAUCAAUCCUCUAAGCAAAGAACUAGUAUAAGUGCCAAAUACAAACUCAAGCCCGAUUAAAAGUCGGGCCCAAAAGCAUGACAAAUGUCCAAAGAAUAUUUGUCAUGAACAAGUAUUGGUGCAUAUGAAUAUUUGUCUCUAUGUAUGAGCUUUGGUUGACACUUAUCAUAACAAAAGUGCCACAUAAUCUCUCCAAUUAACUCUAAGAUGCCUACAUAAAGGCUAGAUCCGAUCUGAAGAUAAGGAAAAAAAGAGGAAUAAAAUGAGUACAAAAACUCUAUCCAUUUCACUUUAAAUUUUUUCUCCCUAAAAAUUGAGUAAAAAAUGACUUAAGUAUCGGAGGGUUAUCGCCAGCAAGAUGGUCUCCUUUGACAAUUGUUUUAUUUUGCAAAAAAAUUAACCAUGAGAGGAGGCGUGAUUUGAGACACUCGCCUCAAGGAGAAAAUAAGCCACAAAAAUUGAUUUAGAAGAAAGUUCAAAACACAAAUCAAUCAUUGUACAUUGAGCAAAAAUUUGCAUCAAUAGCUAUUAUAAUCAAGUCAUGGAUGCUUUAAGAAACAAAACUAAGGAAAAAUGGAAGAAUAUUAAUCAUAAUAAUCAAAGGUUAAUUAAUCAGCACUUUGGCAGUUAUGGCCAUAUUAUCUAAACGAAAUAAUCUUUUGGAAGGAAACUAAGACUCGAUUAUUGCCAUUAUAAUCAAGUCAUAAAGUAUGCUUUAAUGUGGGAAACAGAACUAGGGAAAAAUGAAAGAAUAUUUCAUUAUAAUCAAACGUUAGUUAAUCAGCAUUUUGGCAGUUCUAGCCACAUUGUCCAAAUGAAAUAAUGUUCUGGAAGGAAAGUAAGACUUGAUUAUUGCUAUUAGUUUGUUUGUAAAUUAAUUGUUGUCGAUAAACUAUAUAUCGAGUCAAAAAUUAUUUUCCGGUAUUUUCUUAUCUACACCCUAAUCACCAACGUCUAUGACUCGUGCAGAAAUUUUCUGAUAUAAAAUUGUUAGUGGAUAAUUAGAAAAAGGUAGGGUUUAGAUCUUACUGCUCAGCUUGGGUUUUCUGAUCUUGAGGUAGAAUUUGAUUCAGCCACUAUGGUUUCGUGGGCUAUUUCAAGUGGAUUCGUACGGUGGGAUUUUGCUUACCUCUUUGGUUGUGUUUGGGGAUUGGCUUCCAGCCCAUCUAUUAUUAUCAGACAUGUUUUUCGAGAAGCUACAUUUGCUGCUGACUUUAUGGCCAACUGGGCUUGUGCUCAUCAGACUUGUCAGCGAUUUUUCAAUCUUGUAGACCUUUUUGUUGGUUUAUCGGGCAUUCUUCAUUUAGAUACUCUCGAAGUUCCAUAUAUUCGGCAUUAAUCACCUUGAUUUGGAUUAGUUUUAUAUUGAUCACUAAAUCAUUUGCUUCUCUUGGGGUGCUUUGGUUUAUAUCCUCCUUCUUAUGUUCAUUGAUUGAUUGAUUAAUUUACAAGUAUGGGUUUGGCCUAACCACCACCAUCUUGGUGGAUUUUCAUUAUAAAAAAAAGUAGAAAAAGGUAGGCUUUUUUUUUCAAGUUUUUGAAAGGAAUAAACAAUGUUUCAUCAAAACUUAUUAAUUCUAACGUUUUAUCGGGGUUUUAUACAGACUAAAACUAUUAAUUCGUUAGAUAGGAAUUUUGGUAAUUUUUUUUAGGAAAAGAUAAUUAUAAAAUAACAAUAAAAUAAAAUAAAAAAUCUAUAAUUUUCAUUGAGUUAGCUAUGUAUAAUUUAGGAAUUUAUUUCCUUUUAAAUAUAAAAUAAUAAAGUUGGGCCUUAACCAAACUCCUAAGCGGCCAAGAAGAAGAUUAUGGAAAUGAAAAUUUCUUAUUCCGAUUUUAAAAAAUUAUUUUUUAAUAUAAAUUUUCUCUCUUUUUUUUUAAGAAAACAUUAAAAUUGAAGUGAUGAAAUCUUAAUUAACGACCAUUUGAAUUGUUCAUGAUUGACAAAGAAUCAGCUAGAGUAUCUGACAUAUACACAAAUCUAAUAAUUUUUUUGCAAUUAUCUCUGUCCUUCGUCUUGGUAUUCUGUUUCUGUUUUAUAACUAAAUUCUCUUUGUUCUUGGCUUGUUGUAGUAGCUCUUUUUUUUAUUUUUUAUUUUAAUUUUUUGAGGAACUUAUCGGAGGCUUUUUCACUGUUCCUUUGCUCAUCUUUUUCAAUGUUCCUAUCGCAGAGCUGUACAAGCGCAAAACAAUUAUGAAGGGCGAGAACAAAGGGGUUGAGGCAUUGAGAUUGUCAGUGAGGCAAAGGAGAAAGGAAACUGAAUCCAGGGAGCGAAAGAACAACAUGUCAGUGGCGUUCUUCGUGGCUAGCUAUGAAACUACAUCUACCAUUAUGGAAGACAAAUGAAGAGAUAAAAACUUUAGGGAGAGAAACUAAAGAUAAUAAAGUUAUAAUAUUUACCUAUAAUGGUAAUAAUCGUAAUUUAAGUUAAGAAUAUUUGUGUCAUAAUAUUGUCUUUUUAAAAUGGGUUUAAUAAAUAGUUUGGUGGGUCUAAAUAAUCUCAACCAUAAUAGCCUGCACCAGCAAUAAUUAAUUUUUUCGAUCUCUUUCUCUCAACUUCUUUUCUCUUCAUUUUUCUCUCUUCAAGGAGUAUUUUUACUUUGUUAUUAAUUGUGUCCGCUUGAAAUUAUAUUAAUUCUUAAGUGCGCGUUUGACAUACUAUAUUGUAUUAUACUACAUUAAAGUAUUUUAAUGUAGAUGUAUUGUAUUAUGUUGUAUUAUGUUAUAUUACAUUAGCAUUGUAUUGUAAUACUGCUAUAUUGUAUUAAUUUUUAGUUAUAUUAUGUUUGGUGCUGCGUUAUACUGUAUUAAUUUCUUUGGUGAUUAAUUCAAAUUAUAUAUUUAGAAAAUAUGUAAUUUAUUAGUACUUGUAAAAAUGUAAAAUAUAGAAGUCUAAAAUAUUUGAAUUUUUACUUCAAUUUUUUUUGUUUAAAUGAAAAAAUUCAUAAUUCUUCAUAAACUAUAUGUAAAACUAACAAAUUUUAAAAUUUUCGACAGCAUAACACUUAUUUUUUCAACAAGUACCAAAUAUAUAACCUAGGAAAUAAAGAUUGAAGCAAAUAAUUUAGUCAAAUAACCUCUAAAAACUAUCACAAUACAAAUAAAUGGUUACAGGAUUUGUUCAAAGUUUAUACAUACUACAAAAAAGUCGCAAAAUAUUAAAGUGAUUCAAUAGUUGUAAUAUAAUCACCUAUAAAGUGGAUUGUGUUAAAUAAUCUAAGUACACAUAUCCACAAGUCAAAAUACUAAUGCAAAGUAUCAUUGUGUAGCUCGAAAUGCAUACUCUCUAAUCAAACUCUACCUCUCCUCUCAUGCUUAUGCAAAAGCAUCCUAACAUAUGCCAAUCUAAGGCCAUGAUUAUUUCAUAAUACCUUGAAAGCCCUUAUAUGUGAAGGUUUCUCGAUCCCACUAAAUUUAACACAAUAAGUUAAAAAUGCAUUUAGAUGUUUGUUUGCAUUUUUAAAUAAUUUUUUCUGUUUACAAUGUGAAUUUUUGCUUAAAAAUGAAGUGUAGGUUUUAAUUUUUUUUUUAUCCAGUAAUAUAAUUUUAAAUUUGUUUAAUGUUGUGAAAUAUCUAACGUCGUUUUAAAAGGUUUUUGGAGGAUACCAAUAGUACAAAAAAAAAGUCUCAUAUUAAUUACAUAUGCAACGCCAAUAACUCUCUAUACAUAUACCAUUCAAUAUCAAUUACCUAAUCUAAUUUCAAAGUCAUAAAUUAAAACUACACAUUCAAACUAGGGUUAGCAAAAAAGUCCGACCCAACCCAAACCUACAGUUUUUAAAGCCGGCCCGCAGAAUAAAAACAUAGAUAAGGGCUCAUGAAAUGUAAAACCCAUAUAUAUUGGGCUUGGUUAAAGGCAUUUAAGAAAAAGCCCGCCAGCUUUAUUAUAUAAAACAAAAUCAAAUUUUAAAAAAAAUGCAAAACAACCGACCCUAAAAAUUUCCUAAUACCGCUGUCACAGGAGUCACACCCACCAUCCCAAAACCAAGUGAAGCAAGCACCAGCAACUGCAUCUUCAUCAUCACACCAGCCCAACAAUUUCAGCCACCGCCGCCCACCAUGAUGCAGCCAUUAAGCGAAGCAGCUACUCGAACCAAACACCAGCAGCGCGACGCAGUAGCAGCCAUUAAAGACAAUCAUUUAGUUUUCAAUCUUCCAUAUGUAAUAUGCAACAGAGAAUAGCCGCUUGAAUGCUGUUGAACUUGUAGAAUCUGCCACCAUUAAUUCAUCAACAGGUAAGAUGCACUUCUCAUGGUAUUGUCAGUUUUUUGGGUUUUUUAUUUGAUAAUGUAAAGGCAAACUAAACAAAUUGGGUUAGUUUAAUUUGGUGAAAUUUGAUUUGGGUUAAUUGUAGCGAUGGCAAUGGGGUAGAUAUGGAUUGGAUCUACUCUGUUCCAGAUCCAAAUCCAUAAUAAAAAUCAAGAUCCGUAUCUGCUCCAGAUCCUUCAUGAAUCUAUAUUUUUCGCUACAUAUCCAGAUAAAAAAAAAUAAUAAUAAAUAUCUAUAUCUGCUCCAAAUCCAAAAAAAAAAUUAAAAUCUAAAUCUGCUCUAGAUCCGUCAUAAAUUCUAAAAUUCAGUAAUAAAAAAGUAAUUUUUUUAUAUUGAAAAUUGAAGGCUAAAAUGUACUGAUAACAAAUAAAUUAUAUAAUUUUUCUAAAAAAUAUAAUAAAUAUUGUAGCUUAUACUUUUACACCAAAACAACAAAUAAGAAAGAUAAUAAAAUAUCAUUCAGAAGUAAUUGUAGAAGUAAGACCAAUCUAAUAUUCUAUUGUCUCAUUCAUCAUUCUAAUAUUCACGAUACGCUUACCCUCAUUGCUACAACAUUAGAUAAUGACAUAUAAAUUAAAUAUAAUUUAUAUUCAGUCCUUUAUUAUUUUUAUUAUAACCAUAUUUGACUAAAUAUAUGAAUAACUAUAUUCCUUAAAAAUUAUUUGGCCAAUAUAAUAAAAUAAAUUGCCAGGUUAUAUUACAUGACUUGCAAUUUGAAUAUUGCAUGUACAUGAUUUGGGGCUGGUUGACCUUUAAAUUUACAAAACUAAGCUUUAAAUUUUAAGAAUUUAAAUGCAUGGUAAAUACUACUAAUAUGCUAUGAAUAAAAUUUAUUAUCAUUAUAAUUCCACAAUUGUUAAGAAACUUUUAAAAUAAAAUAAAAUUAAAAGAUGAGUAGAUAUGGAUAUGGAUUUAGAUAUUAAGAUAGAUCCAGAUCUGCUCCAGAUCCUUCUUAGAUCCGCAUAUCGAUAUCCAAAUCCGAUCCAAAUCCAUUUUAAACCGAUCCGAUUGGAUUUGGAUCACGUAGAUCUUAGAUUAGAUCCAAUCCAUUGCCAUCCCUAGUAGGGAUGACAAUGGGGCAGAUAUGGAUUGGAUCUACUUUGCUCCAAAUCUAGAUCCAUAAUAAAAAUUGAGAUUCGUAUCUGCUCCAAAUCCAUCAAAGACCCAUGUUUUUUGCUCCAUAUCCAGAUCCAAAUAAUUAAAAUAAAUAUCUAUAUCCGCUCCAAAUCUAGAAAAAAAAAAUUAAAAUCCAAAUCUGCUCUAAAUCCAUUAUGAAUUCUAAAACUUUACAAUAAAAGAGCAAUUAUUUUUUGGAAUGAAAAUAAAAAACUAAAAUGCAUUGAUAACGAUUAAAUUAUAUAAUUUGUCUAAAAAGUCUAAUAAAUAUUGUUGUUUAUGCUUUUACACCAAAACAAGAAAAUAAGAAAGGUAAUAAAAAAAUGCAAGAGUAAGUAAUAAAUAUUGUUGUUCCCUUCCUAAAUGAAAUGCCUCCAUUGGGGAUUGAGUAAUCAAAGGCUCAUUAGAUUGAUAAACAUGUCCAUAUGAUUUUGACUUUAACUGAUAUUCUUUCACUAAAUCAUAACAAUAAUUACGGACACUCCCAAUUCUAUGUUCACAAUCAACUCCAUAAAGCAUAGGAAAAUAGUAUUCUACUAGUUUCAUCUUAUAUCUAGGAUCCAAAACAGUUGCCACUACCAUUAACUCAUUAACCACACUCCAAUAUUUGUCAUAUUUUUCUAACAUUUUCUUUGCCAUUAUCCUUAUUUUAUCAUUAUUAGAACCUAGCCACUCGGAAAUAGAUAUUCUAAUCUCACAAGUAUAAUAAAAGUACAAAUUCAUUGUAGGAUAUUUCGUGCCGGAAAACAAUUUUGUAACUUCAUCAAAUAUUCAAGCCUACAACAAAUUUCUUUUGCAAACUCCCAAUCUUCUUCACUAGGCAAUGAUUUAUAUUGAGGUUCUCGUGGUUUUAAAUGAGAGAACACGUCUUUAUAAACUAAAGCAGUGUCAAGCAUAAAAUAGGUAAGAAUCAAUUGCUUUAUGCUUGAAAUUUUUAAUUCACGAACACCCUUCAUAAAUUUUUCAUGCCUUUUGGGUGUCAUUUUCCAACACUACUACGAAUUCUCUCAAUACUUUCACUAAUGACAUCUAGCCUAUCCUCCACUAUCAAAUUCAAGAUGUGUGCACAACAACGCAUAUGAAACAACCUCCCAUUUAAUAACAAUGAAUUAGAAAGUUUGUCUAAGAGGAUGUCAACCAUUGCAUCGUCAGUAGUGGCAUUAUCAACUGUUAAAGAACACAGUUUUCCAUCAAUAUUCCAAUCUAAUAAGCACUCCAUUAAAUUGUCAGAAAAUACCUCAGCAGUGUGUGGACACAGGACACAUCACAUGUAUAAACCUAAAUAAAAAUGACAAACAAUAGAACAAAAAUAUUAUUAUAUGAAUUGAGUAUUUAUUAAUCAUAAUGAAAAGGAAAUGACAAAUAUAUAAAUAAAUAAUGCUAUAGAAAGUACCUUAUAAGGCGACUUUGCAACUUCCAGGAAUUAUCUAUAAAAUGUGUGGUGACAACCAUGUAACCCAUAUUCUGAUUAGAAGUCCAUAAAUCAAUAGUAAUAGAAAUUCUACUUUAAUUGCUUGCCAACAACUUCAUUAUUUUAGACUUUUCAUAUUCAUAUCGCUUAAAGAUAUCUUUCUUUAGCGUAUUUCGAGAAAUGACCUAAAACAUGGGUUGUAAAGAACCAACAAACUUCCUAAAUCCAUAAUGUUCAACCAUACUAAGAGGGUAUUCAUGCUUGAUAAUCAUAUUUACAAGCUCUCUUCUUGAAGUGUCAUGAUCAAAAGAAAAUGCCCCAACUUGGACUUUACCUUUAUUUACAGUAGCAUUCAACAUAACAUUGUUGAUUGUUGGUUCCUUACGUCGUGGACAUCUAAGCAAGUGCUUAUGUAAAUGGUUCGUUCCACUUCCUACAACUAACUUUCCAUUGCAUUGGUUACAAAUUGCUUUCAAUUGUCCAUUAAUCUUUUGCCUCGUAAAAUGAUUCCACACAACAGACUUCAAUUUUUUACUAACAACAGCAGUUUCAUCGCUAGGAAUUGGUGAGGUCGAAUUCAACUCCAUCCCAUUUGAUGGUUCAAUUACUUCAACAUCAUCAUACCCAUCAUUAUCAUCAUUUUCUGACUGCGGUAAAUUAGGACAGAAAUCCAUGUUUCACCUAAUUGAAGAAAUAACCAAAAACAUUAAGCGUCUAUGUCACUGAAAAAAAUUAAUAUUACACAUCAAUAUUAGACAAGUAAAUAAAUACAAUUAUUUGUAAAUGAAUAUAUAAAAUUAGGAGCAUAAAUUAAAUAAAUAAUUGAAUUCUUCUCAUUUAAUCUUCAUUCACAUGGAUCCUUUAUUAAUGAAAUCAACUGUCAUAAUUUAAGAUAUAUUCAAAUAAAAACUAACCUACAUGGAAAACUAAUACGUAAUUUGAUGAUUACCAUAUACCUAAUUCAGUAUUAUAUAAUUAAAUUAUGUGGAUAGCCACCAAUGGUUAGUGAUUACACAACAUGAAUAAUGUUAUGAGAAAAUAAUAGAAAAAAAUUAAGUUUAAAGACUUACUUGGUAAUUAAAGGACUGAUCCAAAUAUUCAAAUAGAGUAAAAAAACAAGAGUGGAAUGAAGAAAAAGAAAGAGGCUGUGUUGAAAUUUUUUUUUUUUUUAUUGGAGCAAGGCUGACGUUAAGUUGACCUAGAAUAUGAAUAAUUGAAAGAAAUCAGGGCAAACUAAAGUGCGGCACUUAGUAUGAAUGGUAUCAGGAUUCACGAAUUCGUGAAUAAGUGAAAAAAAAAAUUAUAUUAUGUCAUAUAACAAUAUACGGCUUCCUUAUUAUAAAAAAUAUUAUUUCCCUUUACGAAUGAUAUCAUGAAUUCUAUUCAUGAAUAAAGGCUUCCUUUUUUUAUAAUAAAGGGAAAUACGUAACAUGAAUUCGUGAAUCAUCAAUCAUGAUACUGACUUCAAGGCCGACUUUGAAAAAAAAAUAUAAGGCUUCCUUUAAUUGUUUUCACAUGCCUCUUUAGUCUUUUCAAGGACAAUUUGAAAAGUCAAUUUUGAGACAAUACGUGCUAGUGUAUAGGAGAAAUUAAUAUAUUCGUUCAAAGUUAUUUAGUCAAUAUAAUAAAAUAAAUUGAUAAUUGUUCUAUUAUUAUUUAAAUUUUUGUCUUAUUAUUAUUUAAAUUUAUAAAAUUAAUAUUUAAGUUUUAAGAUAUUGAUUAAAUAAUGGUAAAUACUACUAAUAUACUAUGAAUGAAAUUUAUUAUCAUUUAUAAUUACACAAUUGUUAAGAAAUUUUUUAAAAUAAAAUAAAAUUAAAAGAUAGGUGGAUAUGGAUUUGGAUCUAGAUAUUAAGACAGAUCCAGACCUGCUCCAAAUUCGUCUUAGAUCCGCACAUUGAUAUCCAAAUCUAAUCCAAAUCCAUUUUACACUGAUCAAAAUCUGAUCCGAUUGAAUUUAGAUCAGAUGAAUCUUGGAUUAGAUCCGAUCCAUUGCCAUCCCUAAAUUAUGUCCUUAUAUUUUAAGCUUUAUUUAAAAAUAAAAAUAAAAAUUAUGGAAGCUAAGUCCGGCCCGAGCCCGUUUAGGUCCGAUCUAAAUUUGGCCCGUUUAAAUUUAGACAAACUUUAAAGGACUUGAACCUAAUGACAAUGACAUGGACUUGAGCCUGAACUUCAAAAAACCCGACUCAAGCCCGCAAUUUGUCAACUCUAAUUUGGACAACUACUAACGACCUGUAAUCAAGUCAUUAAAACCUUAUGGGGACUCAUAAACACUCACAAACACAUUGGAAAAGCGCAUAUGAAUAUAGGAUGUAUCCACAGUGAAGCUACCAUGCUCAUCUUGCAUGUCCACAUUGUUGUGGUUGAUUCUUGUGGGUAAUGUCGUUGUCUCCUUAUUAGGUAGCUAGAAAGACAGGCUUCUGUUUGACCCCAUACUGGUUGGUGAUAAGGGAUAGGUUGCCGCAACCCUUAGGCACGAUUUAUAAGCCUUGCAGAUAUAGCCUAUAAAGUUCUCGUAUUCCUGCAGCAAGACAAAUAAUUCAUCUCUUAAAGAUCCCCAAGUUCAAAUAUCAAAAUAUUUGAUAUAAUAAUCUUCUACUUCAAAGUUCAAAAAUCGUACAUUUUUAUUGAGCAACUUUUAUUUCGAUUUCCAGGAACGUGGGGGACAAUAUGUAAAUCAGGAACAUACCUCAUACUGUGGCUGUCCAUCCACAACAACCCAAGGCACAUAUUGAUGAAGAGGCACAAGCGAAUUUGUUUCAGCUGCAUAUUUUAACUCAAGCUGCAAGUAAUAUAACAUUCAAUCGCAAAUUAAUCAAUCAUAUAUACCAAUUUCACAUUCCAUGGACAAUUUCACUGGCAGUGGACUUUAUCUCUUUUGUUUCUUUUCCUCCAUAUUCACUGACUCUGCAGUCCACUGGCAAGAAAUAAUUUUCUUUACUAGGCGUUACAGGAAAAGCAGAUAUCUAAGAGAAAGGUGACGAAUAUUUUAGCUGAUUGCAAACUCAAAUGCACUUUGUUGAUAUUUAAAUGCAGUGGCAUCGAGGUUUAUAGGCAAUCUCAAAUACAACUCCAGAAAUAUUCCUCUAUGUUCAUGUACCCAAACGCUUAUUAACUCUUUUACUCCAGGGCUUAAAUACUUCCCAAGAAUCUCAUAUAAUAAUCUAGCAGCUAAAUACAGUUCCUUUCUCUCAUCCUCAAUCACAGGGAAAAAAAUUGAAUUUUUUUCUAGUAACUCGAGAAAAAAAAAAAAGAGAACAAGUAGUUUUUAUUGAAAAACAAUUCCGUUAAAAUAAAUAGCAGAAUUAUUAGAAUUUAGGAUGAAAAGCUUGCCAUGAUAAAUUCAUAAAAGGACAAAAUCAAACCAGAUCGCGUGGUGGUGUGUCGCACGGAGGAGUGAUGUCAGUGUCACGUGGCGAAGGCAGAUCGCGUCGUGGUGGAGCUGCUAUCACUUGGCAGUGGCGGUGUGGAGUUGGUAUUGGGUUGAAGCUCGCCAGGGGCUGUGAGCUAUAGAAAUAGCAGCUUUGUUGUCACAAUAGACUUUCAUAGGAGUUGAGAAAGUAAAUUUCAGUUCUUCAAGAAUUCUUUUUAUCCACAUAACCUCACAGAUUCUAUGGGCAACAGCUCUGAAUUCUGCUUCUGCACUACUUCUAGCAACCACAUUCUGUUUUUUACUCCGCCAUGUAAUUAGGUUCCCACCAACAAAGGAACAGUAGCCAGAUGUUGAUCUCCUGUCAGUGACACUUCCUGCCCAGUCUGCAUCUGUGUAGACUUCAACUUGAAGAUGUCCAUGUUUUUUGAACAUUAGGCCCCUCCCUGGAGUUCCUUUUAGAUAUCUUAAGAUCCUGUAGAUUGCCUCAAAAUGCUUUGCCCCUGGUGAGUGCAUAAACUGACUUACCAUGCUGACUGUAAAGGCGAUAUCAGGUCGCGUAUGAGACAAGUAGAUCAACUUCCCUACGAGUUUUUGAUACUGUUCCCUAUCCUUUACUUCUUCAACCUUAGCAGGUUGUAACUUCAAGUUAGGAUCAAUUGGGGUCUCUACCAUCUUACAACCAAGCAAACCUGUUUCUCCAAGGAGAUCAAGAACAUAUUUCCUCUGAUUCACAAAUAUACCUUCCUUGGAUCUUGCAAAUUCCAUUCCAAGGAAAUACUUAAGGACUCCCAAAUCCUUAAUUUGAAACUUCUUUGCAAGUCUCUUCUUGAGGGCUGCUAAUUCUGUUUCAUCAUCACCAGUUAAAAUGAUAUCAUCAACGUAAACAAUCAAAAUUGCAAUUUUACCGUCUUUUGAGUGUUUAUAAAAUAUUGUGUGAUCUCCUUGAUUCUACAAGAAGCCAUAACUGAUAACUGCCUUUCCAAAGCGUUCAAACCAUGCUCUUGGUGACUGUUUGAGACCAUAUAAUGACUUUUUUAAUCUGCAGGCUUUAUCACUACCAAGACUCUUCUCAAAUCCUGGUGGUAGACUCAUGAACACCUCCUCUUUAAGAUCACCAUUGAGAAAUGCAUUUUUAACGUCAAGUUGGUGUAAAGGCCAAUCAUAAUUCACUGCAAGAGAUAACAAAAUUCUGAUAGAAUUUAUUUUAGCAAUAGGAGCAAAAGUCUCCUGGUAGUCAAUCCCAUAAGUCUGAGUGAAGCCUUUAGCCACCAGUCUCGCCUUGUACCUCUCGACGCUUCCAUCCGCAUUACAUUUUAUCGUAAACACCCACUUACACCCAACUAUUUUCUUGUCUCUGGGUGGAUCAAUUAUCUCCCAAGUACCACUUCUCCUCAAGGCAUUCAUCUCCUCCAUGACUGCUAAUUUCCAAUUCGGGUCAUCCAGUGCUUCCUGUACAUUUCUUGGAACAAACAAGUGUGAAAUCCUAGAUGUGAAAGCUUUAUGGUUUUUUGACAGUCUUUGAUACGAAAGAUAAUUUGCAAUAGGAUGGUUGGUACAAUUUCGAACACCUUUCCUAAUAGCUAUAGGAACAUCAAGAUCAUGAAUAAUUGGUGAAUCAUUGGAAACAAUCGAAGGAAUCAAAGCUGGAGUUGGGAUUUGAUUACUUGAAAUUUCAGCGCCGGAACUCGGUUUUUCAAAUUGGGCUUGUGUAGGAUUGACAUUCAAGUCUUUACUUCUCAGAUGAAAUCUCUUCCUAGUAUAAACCUGAAGUUCAGAAUUUAGAUCAUGUUGAUCUGUUUGUAGUACUUCUCCCCCUGAAUGAGAAUCUCCUGUACUAGGCACUAAAGAACUUGUUUUCCUCAACUGAUCAUUAUCAGAAAAGUGUGGUCCUUGAAUAAGACAAAUAACUUUUGGAAGUGGGAUAGAAAUGUCCCAAAAAUUGUCUUCUACUCCAUUUGUCUCCCCCUGAAGAGAAUUUUUUUAUGAAAUAAGGAGUUUUUUCCAAAAACGACACAUCCAUACUCACAUGAAAUGUUUUUGUUUGAGGGUCAAAACACUUAUACCCCUUUUUGUUCGAUGAAUAACCCAAAAAUACACACUUUAUAGCACGUGGGUCAAGUUUUGAACGAAAUUGACUUGGAACAUGAACAUAGACAGUACACCCAAAAACUUUGACAGGUAAAUCAGAAAACAACCUUGUUGUAGGAAAAAAUUCUUUAAGGCAAACAAGAGGUGUUUUGUAUUUUAACACCUUGGUAGGCAUCCUGUUUAUUAAAUAAGCUGCUGUUAAAACUGCUUCACCCCAUAAAUACUUAGGAAUAUGCAUGUAAAACAUUAUGGCACGUGCUACUUCAAGUAAAUGUUUAUUUUUCUGUUCUGCAAUGCCAUUUUGUUGAGGGGUAUUAUGACAUGUAAAUUGAUGAAAAAUGCCUUUAUCAUUCAAAAACUCACCCAAGUGCUCAUUGAAAUAUUCUGUUCCAUUGUCAGAAUGUAAAAUACCAAUUCUAGUUUGAAAUUGAUUUUCAAUCAUAGUGUAAAAAUUUUCAAAUAAAUAUUUUACGUCAGAUUUUUAUGCAUGAGAUAAAUCCAACAUAAACGAGUAUGGUCAUCAAUAAACGUAACAAACCAUUUUUUACUGGAAAGGGUAGUGACCUUAGAAGGACCCCAAACAUCACUAUGAAUCAAAUAAAAAGGUUUGGAGGCCUGGUACUGUUUUGGCAAAUAAGUAGAACGAUGAAGUUUUGCAAAAGUGCAACAUUCGCAAUAAAAAGAAGAGCAAUCAAUCCCUUUAAAUAAUUUUGGAAAUAAGUAUUUCAAAUAAAGAAAACUAGGAUGUCCAAGUCUAUAGUGCCAUAGCAUUAUUUUUUCUCGAACAGAAAUUGAACUAGUACUAAUAAAGUUCUGAGCUUUUUUAUUACUAAUAGGUACUUCAUCAAAGUAGUAAAGACCUUCAAUCAUCCUAGCACGUCCAAUCAUCAUCCCCGAGUUCUGGUCCUGAAAUUCACAAUGUGAUUCAAAGAAGGUAAUACGACAAUUAGAAUCUCUAGAUAAUUUACUAACAGACAAAAGAUUGCAGGCUAAUUUAGGGACAUGAAGAACAAAAUUGAGAUUAAUGUUCUCGGUCAGUUUGAUAAGUCCUUUUCCUGCAAUAGGUGAAAAACUACCAUCGGCAAUUCUAAUUUUUUGAUUUCCAGAACUAGGAGAAUAGGUAUUAAAUAAAUGAAAAGAACUAGUCAUGUGAUCAGAGGCUCCAGAAUCUAUGAUCCAUGGAGAAGAGUUUAAACGAGAAAGGGCUAUUGGAUUUCUACCUGUUUGUGCCAAAGAAACACUAGGAAUACCAGACGAGAAGUUGGAUUUUAUUAGCUUCAAGAGUUGAUCAAUCUGCUCUUUGUUGAAGUGGCCUGAGUUGGCUUCAUUGGCAGAAGGAAUCCCACGAUUCUUCUCUCCUUGCUUGCUGCUUUUCCAGUUUUCAGGUUUGCCAUGAAGCUUCCAACACUUCUCACGUGUAUGGCGAGGCUUGUGGCAAUGAUCGCACCAGGCCUGUGACUUAUCAUCAGACCUGCGCUGAUAAUUUGCAGUCUUGUAGGCUGCUGGAUCAGUAAUUAAGGCAGAAUUCACAAUUAACUCACUAGUACUCCUUUUCCUGAGCAUUACGCUCCUUCAGCUUUCUUCUCUUCUGACUUCAGCAAAGACUUCGCCAAUGGGUGGUAGAGGAGGUCUGCCAAUAAUCCUCCCUCGUACUUCAUCAAACUCAACAUUGAGUCCGGCAAGAAACUUGUAAAUACGACUGUCUUCCACAGUUUUCUUGUGGUGGUUGCAGUCAUCAGCGGAUUUCCAUUUAUAUGUGUUGAAGAGGUCAAGAUCUUGCCACAACCUUUUCAAAGAAUUGAAAUAUUUGGUGACAGAAUCAUCACCUUGACGAAUCUCUCCUAACUUUAAAGUUAACUCAAAAACCUGAGAUUGGUUGCCCAGGUCAGAAUACAUCUGACUAACGUUGUCCCACAAUUCUUUAGCAGUAGAAUAGCACAUAUAAUUGGAGCUUAUAUCCUCCUCCAUGGAGUUGACCAGCCAUGUCAUAACCAUGGAAUUUUCAGCAUCCCAAGUGGCAUACAGCGGAUCAUCAUUAGCAGGAACCUUCUUGUCACCAGUGAUGUAACCAAUUUUUCCUUGCCCACGGAUAUACAUCCGGACAGAUUGCGACCAGCGGAGGAAGUUGUCGCCAUUUAGGCGGAUGGUGGUGAUUUGAACAGAAUGAGAGUUGGAGUGGUUUCGCAGGGUCUCAGAUGUUUUUUCUGGAAUGGCAGUAGCAGGGGUUGGAGUGGUUUCAGACGUGACUUCUGACAUGGUUACAGACACGAUUCCCUAUGCUCUGAUACCAACUUAGAAAUUAUGAGGAAAAAGUAGUAUACUUCUUAUUUACAAUCAGAACAAGGAUCCCUUUUAAAUAGAGCAAUUAUAACAGAAAAGGAAACUAAUUAAGAGCUAAUAUUUGACAGCUAUCAUCUAUAUUUACAUAGGAAAGGAUCCUAAAAUAUCUCUAGGAUUAAGGCUAAAAUCAAGGCCUAAUUUCCAACACAUUUCAAUCCGACCUGGUUGUCGGCCCGGGUCGAAAAGAGUAUCAGGCAAAUGGACAAAUUGAAUGAGAAAUUUCCAGUAAGUGAUCCAGAGAAUGAGAACAUUCAAGAGAUAAUGGAGGCUUUGAAGCUUAAAUUUAGAAUUAUUCGGGCUGCAUUAGGUGUGAGACUGGAGUAUGAUGGGUAGCCUAAACCCAAAGAGAUUGCAUUUUGAGUCGAGAGCUAGUUUUUUUUGUAAUAAUCUUGGUGAUAAUGCAUAGUUACAUUAAUUUUCCCCCCCGUUUUCGUUGGAGAAUUUGAUAUGAUAUAACUAUGUUGCGUUUUAGUCUCAAGUAUUUGCUUAGUUGGUUUGUAUUGUAGUAUUUUGGUGACUACUAUGGAUUGCCUAGAAGGUUGAGGGUCAGCAAAAUUUCUACAAGGGGGUGUUUCGGUUCGUUUGCAUUCAUUUAGUUUUGAAGAACUGAAUUGGAUACUGCUCACCCCCAAUUUCCAGUAACACUUUUCUUAUCAUAGUAACCCCAUCCAUGCAGGCACAUGCGUGCAAAAAUGAAGAUACUCAGUACAUUGAGACUAUAUGUGUUGGUAUUCUAUUUGAGCAUGGUUAAAGAAUGACAGGACAUCUUCUUGCUGGAACACUCAGCAUGUUUAGCUAUGUUGUUGACAUUGUGAUGGAACAAGUGAUGACUUUCUAUAUUUCUUGCAUCACUGAUCGAGUUGAAAUUGUUAUGUGAGAAAAAAUAAACAUUGGAAUAUUAUAUUGGAUACCCUGGAAAAUGAAACAGAGCUGAAAGAGGCAGUUUGGCAUAGCUUGAACUAAUAAUGUGAGGAUGAGAGACAUGCAAUUGUAAAUUUGCAUAUUGAGCAGCAUAAAAAACUAAUGUAGGGCUAUUAUAAUUAUGCUGAGCUUUACGGACUCAAAUAUUGAUUGGGCAUAAAAAAAUCACCAGGUGGCUGUUCUUAUUUGAGUUUAUACAGGCUUUAAUUUGCAAUCCAAAAUUGUAACAAUAAUUAUGAUAUUUUUCACUUGAUUUAGUUUUAGGCAGUGAUUGCUAUUCUGUAUUUCUAUGUUGACAUCUAUGUUUCUGGUUUGUCUUCAGCUUUAAUUUGCAGCUAUCUAACACUAAUGUUUUACUAGUUCUAGAAUGUUGCUAGAAAAUUUAUCUUUUGAAGCUGCUAGAGUGUGGUCCCCAACUAUUAUGGCCACAUAAAUUCCUGAUAAUGCCAUUUCAUUAUCCCAAUCUUUCUUUGUUGUGCAAUUGGUGGCAGGCAGCAAAGAGAAGAAAAAUGUUAAAGCUGAUGCUUGCUUGCUGCAAGGUAUAUAUAUCUGAAAGUCGAAACAAGGCUGCACUGGAAUCAAUUGAACAAGCUGCCAAACUAUUUUCAGAAGCUGCUAUUGUCAACAAAUUUGAAGAUGUAACUUACAAUAGAGUUGGUUAUACGGUGGUCUCCAAAUUGGCUCCAAAGCCAUCUUCAAACUCUCAUCCUCUGAAAAGUACUGUGUUUGCCAUGGUUAAAGCUGCUUUUGAGAAUAUUGACCUAGAUAUGCAUUCUGGAAGUCAUCCUAGGCUUGGAGUCGUGGACCAUAUAUGCUUUCACCCUUUGGCUUCUGCACCUUUGGGCCAAGUGGCCAAGAUUGCAAAGUCUUUGGCAGGAGACAUCGGAUCUGAUCUUCAAGGUUUGCUUCCUAGAAAGUCCAAUGAAUAUAGCUACUAGAGAUUCUAGGAAAGCUGAAAAUAUGAAUUAGUACUUUUGCCUUCUCUAAAUUCCUGCACAAAUUCAUAACUGUGAAAGGGCCAGAUAAGCCUAAAAUAACAGCAUGUUUUGUUUUAUACCUUAUCCAGCCUGAGGGGUGUGUCCAACACAAUUUAGUGCUUUAUCCUAUUAUCUUGUUAAGCAAACUUCAGAUGCCAGAAUUAUUGAUAACCAAGCGCUUUGAAGUUUUGCAUUGAUACAAAACAUUAGAGUGUUCUGAUGUUUGUGGUUUCUUGUGUAUCCUUUCUUGUUCAGGAGAAAGGACGUGCAUUGAGUGAGCUCUUUUCUCAUUUAACAUGGAGUGUUUCCAUUGUAUAUUGCCAAUUCUCUAUAUUUAGUGAGCCUAAAUAUAGAAUUGGGUUACCAGAAUGCAUCUCUUAUCUUACUAUAAUGGUUACAAUUAGUAAUUCAUGAGCAUGUUUUAUUCUCUUGGGAAAUUUCCUUUGCGCUUGCUGAUGAUCCUCAAUGUAGCCUGCAGUCCCUACCUUUUUAUAUGGAGCUGCACACGAAGAGGAAAGGACACUUGAUUCGAUUAGAAGAAAUCUUGGAUAUUUUAAGCCUAAUUCAGCUGGAAACCAGUGGGCUGGAGGGUUAAAUUCAGAGUCUUUAUUAGUGAAGCCAGAUAGAGGUCCUGAUCAAGUGACUCAAUCAAAAGGUGUCAUUGUCAUUGGAUCAACGAGGUGGGUUGAUAACUACAAUGUUCCUGUCUUCUCCACAAGCAUUGCUGCUGUUCGCAGGAAAGCAAAGCGAGUAAGUGAAAGAGGAGGUGGACUUGCUUCAGUACAAGCCAUGGUUCUUACACAUGGUGAAGUUAUCACUGAGGUAGCAUGUAAUCUGUUGGAACCCAGUAAAAUAGGAGGAGAUAAAGUUCAGCUAGAAGUCAAAAAGCUUGCAGGAGAAGAGGGUAUGGCUGUGGGGAAAGGAUACUAUACUGACCUUUCACAGAAAGAAAUAAUUGAACGUUAUAUGAAAUUGAAUUCACUUGCUUAAGAUGUAGAUGUUCAUUUUUUAUUUACUUUCUGUCUAAGAUAUUAUGUAUUAAUUCCUACAGAUGAUUUUUUUUUUUGGAAGUCACUAUUUUUCUUCUCUUGUUCCAAACGAUUUUUAUUUUCUCUCAAUUAUCGUUGGCUGAUUUUAGUUCGAGCGCAAAAGAUUUAAUAAAAUAGGUUACUUUUUCUUUUUUAUUUUAAAAUUUUGUUCGAAGAGUGGAGGAGAAGAUGAAGAACAAUAGAAUGCGAAAAGUGAGUUUUAAUUGGUGUAGGUGUGAAUAAAUUUUUAAAUUAUGACGAGUGGUGUUGAUUGGAAAUAUUGGGUGUCAGCUCAAGUAGGCAUUUUUUAAAUUCUAAGUUAACUCAAUGCUAAAAGUAUCAAAAUGUCAUUUUUUUUACUCAUCCAAAUUAAUUGUGAAAAGCAACGGGAGGGAGGCUUUGCAUCCAUUAUUAAAACUUUGAAUGUCUCCAUGAUAUUUUUCUGAAACGUGGGAGUGCAAUUGUCAUAUUCCAUGUUUGUUUUAGUCAUUUUACUGUCAUUAUUUGAAGUAAAUGCCAUUUGCUGCCAUCGACCUUGUUUACUUUUUAUUUUUUUGUGGCCUUUUAUUUGUAUAAUAUAAUCUAAUGCAUUUGCUAUUCAUUAUAACCUUAUCGUACAUGCAAGUAGAUAUUAAUAAGAGUAGAAAAUUUUGGUUGCAUUUUAUAAUUUUAAUAUAAAAUAAGUUAAGUUUGAUCGUAAAUAUAAGUAGUCUUUUGAUUGUAAUAUCAGUAACAAUAAUAGUAAUAAAAAAAAAUCCAAUGCAGGUCAAUUUUUUUUUUUAAAGUUCUAAUAAAUUUCGUAAAAAGGUCCACACUGCUGCCUUGUGAAGGGUCUACAAACACAUGCAGCAUCUCGUGGGCGGGGCCCUUGUCUUUGACAAAAGGAAUAUAAAGAUCAAACAGAUGUCCUGAUGAACGUGGGUUAAUUGACAAUGAGUCACAGUAAUCUAUUUCACGUGCCGCUUACCCAACACAAAACCACUUAAAUCUUGCAAGCUAAAUGGCACAAUUCCAUUUCUGUGAGCAUUUUUUUUUUGUCUUUUCUUUGGAAAAAAGGAAGAACCAAAAGGAAAAGGCGAAGUGAGGAAGAGCCUGCCGUUUUGAAACAUCUUUACAUGCAUACGGGAUGCUUCUUUCAUAGUUCUCUUGCCUUGCAAAAUUGAUUAAAUAAAAUAAAAUAAGUCAUUUUUUGCAUGCCCUUAUAAAUUUUGAUGGUCAGUGCACCCGUCUGGUGGUGUGACUUUAGAGAUGGCCAACCGGCCGCCCCAACACAGCAUUGUCCGGUAAGGAAUGGUCCAGUCCUGCUAAUGGGCUGAUAUGACAGAAAUUCUUGUGUAAAUUUAUCUUGUAUAAAUUGAUGUGUUAUAAUAAAAUUAGUUAAAUUAAAUAUUUUUUAACCCACAUGAUUUAUUUUUAUUAUUUUAUAUUUUUAUUCAAUUAAUGAAUUAAUUUCAUAUCAAUUUCUGUAAAAUAAAUUUAUACAAGAGUUUGUCACUGUAUCAUCACUCUAAAAUAAUUUCUGCUUAUACAAACACAUAUAGGCACAAAAUCGAGUGGCCCUCUUUAUAUGUACAAUUUUUAACACAAAUUGCAUUAAAACUAAUGAUCAGGAUUAAAUCAAACUUAAUUCUGUUUUUUAAGACUAAUUAAUAAAAUAAUGAGACCGCACAAGUAACAAUUAAGUUUUUUUUUCAGUCUCCUCCCGAAUUCUUCUUUCGACGUUUUUCUCUCUUCCAGGAAUGCUUUUACUUUGUUAUUAAUUAUGUCCUCUUGAAAUUAGAUUAAAUCUUAAAAAACAGUUAGGGACGUGGCUCAACCGUUUAUAAUUAUGGGUCCUUAGGCGAAUUAUGUCAUCACCUUCAUAUAUUAGAUAAAAUCCAGGACACAAAGCUAAUCAAUAGCAGUCUAUUUUCUUGCUUGGUUGUUCAUUGCUUCUAUUAAACAAAGCCAUUAAGGAUUUUAUGGAUGUUUCCCGAGAAGCAAGCUAUUACAGCGAGCGGCUGGAGCUGUAGGGAGCCGAGGAGCAAGGCAGUAGAUAAGAUGGAAGAAGGGGCCAGGCUCCCGGUGGAGCAGAUGAGUUUGUUUAAAUAAAUUGAUUAAUCAAUUAUCUUCAUUUAUAGACAAACCUAUGAUCUUAAUUAAUUGCGUCUCUCCAAUAUCCAAGAUGAAUCUCCAAAUCCGAGUUAUUUGUCCAUUCAUGUGACAAGUAUUGGCAUCUAUCUUCUUCUUGGCAGUGUUACAAAAUGGUAAAUUUGAUUUGUACAUGAGCUUUAAGUUUUUCAGUGGAAAGAAAUUUAAUGCCAGUUUGCUUUUUACGUUUAAGACUUUUUGUAGUUAAUGAAUUUUCCAUUCCAAAAAAUAUAUUAUUGUCAAAACUGAAAAAUUUGUAAAAUAAAUAUAUUUUUUAUUAUUUUUUUUUGGUCAAAAUUUAUGAAAUAUAACUACUUUUGACAUAUAAUUCUCAAUUUUGAAAUGGAACCUUAGGAGAUGUGGCAGAUUAUAGGCACGGAGAUGACGGAAUUACCCAUCCAAUAGGAAGUGGUCAUAAAGCUUAUUUUAAAAAUUUAUUUUAUGUUGAUGAUGCUUUUCUGCCUCAUGAAGCUACAAGAAACAAUAAUAAUAGAUCGAGGAUAUCGCACAGAUGGGACUAAUUGGACCAUCUUAGGCCUAUAACAAAAGGUAAUAUUUCUGAUGAAAGAGAUUGCGUCUUUUAGAACAACCGAUGUGUCAAGUUUGUUCUAGAAAAAGGAUUAAGAAGAGAGCAUAAUUAAGUCGACAUGCAUAAACUAACUUAAUCAACACAAUAGCAUACAUAUACAUUAAUUUUAUUUAUUAAUUUCUUCGUUUAGGAAGAUAUAUUACAUGAAAAGAAACAUAUCUCUAAAAAAAACUUAUUGGUUGAACUGAACUAAAUUGAUACUCACACAAUUGAUAGGUCAUAAUAUACCCAUCUUUUUAUUUAAUUAAAAAAAAAAAACUAUUUCAUGCACUUAACCGGUGUAGUCGGGCUUUCUUCCGUAUUGAGGAACUACAAAAAGAUCAAAAUUAUCAUUUGCUGCAUCAUCAUCAGCAAUACUCGAACGGACAUCUAAUAUGUGCCCCUCUGACCAAUUCCUCUUGUCUGAAAAAAUUAUAUUAAAAAACUUAAUCAUAAAUGCAUAAGUUAAAACAAGAAUUAUAAACAAUAUUUAACUGAAGUUGGCCAAAAUAACUGGGAAGGGAGUCUCCAUAUUCUUCAAAUUAAUCAGAAAAGAUCUCUCUAGCUUCCGGUGAACCGUUAUGAAAACACAAAAGUAAUUAAGUUGCUUUAGCGAGUUCUACCGUUUGAUAUUUAUAGAAUGAAGCAAUCAACUGUAGAUUCAAAUAAUAAAUCUUUACAAAUAUUGCCAACAAAUUAUUGAGUGCCAACAAAUAUAAUUGACUAUUUAAUUUUCGACUCGGACGUAUAGUCGGUCGGCAAUCAAUUAUUAAAACAAGACAAACUAAUAGCAAUUCUAAAUUCUUUUCUUCACAGACGUUAUCUUCAUUUUGGAAUGACUGGACAGAACUGCCAAAAUAUUGAUUGACUUCUGAACAUUAUUUUUUUAAAACGGUUCAAAUUCAUGCAACGUACCCUAAUUUUCUUUUUCUCAAUAUUAUCAUCAAUUUAGGUCUUGAAUUUUGAUUUUAUAAUUACUUCUAUAGGGUCAGAGAUUCAUCACACCUAAUAAAAAUUCAAGUUUCUAGCGCCUUCAAUUUUUUCUGUCAUAUUUUGUUGAUUUCAUGGAAAUUAAUUCUGAUAAUUAUUCAGGAUUAGUAGUGGCUAAAACUAUGAAGACCUAAAAUUAUAUAUAAGUUUUCCCUGAUUAUUGAACUUUGGGAUUGAAAUUGCGCAACGAGUAGUGUUAGUUGUGAAGCCAGGCUACGUUAUGUAGAAAGUAAAAUGCUUCUUAUCCAAUAAAAUAUAUAUAGUGCUUGCAGCAAUCAUUCAACAAUGAGUAUAUGCGAAUUAAAAAUUGUGCAUUCGCCUUUUAUAUUCAUACAUUUUAAGCAUAUAUAAUUGAUUAGUCUAAUUAUUAGUAGCUGCUUGAGUCUGUAUCAGUUGUGAUCACUUGGUUUCCAUCCUUAAAAUUCUUUGUGUGAUUCAUGUUAUAGCCUAAAAAUCAUACUAAUGUCUUUUUUUUUUUUUUUUUACUGUUUUAGUUUUUAUUUGUUGGUAUUCCUUGAUGAAUUGUAAUGUAACUAAGGACAUGCUUCUGAAAAUAGAGAGAAAGUUAUGAUGGCAUUAUCAUGCUGAUACACAUAAUUGAAGAAACAUAAACAUUCUUAAUUAAUUUACAGAUCUUAAUUCCCUUAUGAAUUGCCGCAAUUACCAAACUAGUACAUCGGGUUUGUUUAACAAAAAUAUCCAAGAAGAAAGAGAGUAUGAUUAAUUAAACUGAUUUGGACAACAGCACACGAUUUUAUCUUCAUUAAUGGACUAACAUAAUUAACACAUUGACAUACCAUAAUUUUUUUUUUAUUAAUGACAAUGACCGAAGUUACUCUAAUCAUUUUUUUUUUCUAUAUUUAUAUGUUUCAAUAAGAAGACCACAUUAAUAUUUAUAAUUAAACAAACUAUUAAAACUAAUCUGAUCAAUUCUAUUAUAGCACAAUCUAGAUAUAACUCUAUUUUUGAAACCCAAACAGAAUUGGUAAACGAAUAGAGGGUUCACAGAAGAAAUUAGUAGGUUCAUAUAUAAAAUAUUAUUGUUUAUAUUUAUCCCUGGGCCGUUUUGGUCUUGACCUGCUUGAAAUAUUUUACUGUAGAUAAUUCUUAUAAGUAAUUGAAACGGUAUCAAGAAAUCAUCUGUUAUUUAUUUAUUUAAAUAGUAAAACUAAUUUACAUGAAGCUUAGAUAGCUAGAAAUAAUUUCUAGGCUUCUGCAACUGAUGUUUCUCCGGAACUUGAGGAGAAACAACAGUCGAAAGCAAUUUCUUGAAAUUGCGAAGUAGUUGGAAGCAAUUUUAUGGAAGCGAUUGGAGAGCCAAAGACGUGUUCAAAAUGCAUUAUAUUUGAAUUUUGAAUAGCAAUAUUGUAAAACUGAAAGUGGCAUUGCUGUAAUUACUGUCAAUAUAUUAUAUAUUGAUGAUGUUUUUAAGUUGGAUAGUCAAUGGAUACAAGACACAAAAAGCUAAGAGUAACGUAUCAUACUCAUAAUGAAUGAUUGACCUUUUCACUCAUUUUUUUUAGAGGCUCACACGCUUCUAAUGGCGACAAUAAUUUGAAAAAAGAAGGAAAAGUUAAUGCUUAAAAUCAAAGUGAUGAAAAGAUGCUUAAAGACAAACAAAGUAAUUAAAUACCACCACCAAUCAGCAGUUGGUAUAGUUCAAAAAAUUUUAUUUAAUUUAAGGUAUUUUUUUUAAUGUUCAUUUGAAUACGUUCUAAAUCUUAUAAACUCAAAUUUUAUUUUUUAAAAAAAUUCUAAAUAAUAAUAGUAAUAAAUUAUUUAUUUUAAAUGCGUGAAAAUAUCAUUUUUUGAAGUAAUUUCUACAAAAUAUUUUUAAAAAGUUUUCAAAAUUACCCUUCAAUUUUUUAACUUAUUUAAUACCAUUAAUAAUUAUUAUUUAUAAUUUUAUUUUAUAAUUUUAUUUUAUUGAUUUAAAAUUAUAAAUGGACCUCCACCGGAAAGUCACCGGAUCUCGUCGGACAACCGCCGGAUCUCGCCGGACCACCGUCGGACUUUGCCAGAAGGUCGCCAGAAAACCGUUUGAUUUUGCCGGAAGGUCGCCGGACCACCAUCGGGCUUCGCCGGAAAGUCGCCGAACUUCUGCCGGAUUUCGCCGGACCUCCGCCGCCGGCCACCGAACCGUCAUUUUAUUUUAUUUAUAUAUAUAUAUGUUUCAAAGAAAAAAAUUAUAAUUCAUUUCCUUAUCAAAUUUUAUAUCAGACCAAACAACAAAAUCUAAUUUUACUACUCUUCUCCAUUCCUUUCUUCUCCCUUCCUCUCCAUUCCACUCUUUUCUUCUCCUCCCUUUUCUUCAAACCAAACAUGACCUUAGAGGACUAAUAGGCUAUUGUGGCUAAAUUAACAAAAUGUAAUCUUAUAAGAUUAAAAGAGAUCGUUUCCUUUUUAACAAUUAUGUAUGGAGUUAAUUUGUUUUAGAAAGAGAUUCAAGAAGAGAGCGCAUAAUUAAGCCAACAUGUAUAGACCUAUUCACUUAAUCAACACAUCGACAAACACAAUAUUUUAUUUAUUAAUUUCCUUUUUCAGGGAGAUACAAUAUACAUAAAUAAACAAAGAAAAUCUCUUGUAUAUCUCAAGAGAUCUUAUCAAUUAUAUAAAACCAAAUUGAAACUCACAGAUUGAUAGGUAAUAAUAUGCCUAUCUUUUUAUUUAAUUAAAUAUAACAUAAAAGAGUAGUAACACUAUAAGCAUGGACUUAACCACUGUAAUCAGAAUUUCGCCCAUAUUGAGGGACAAUAAGAAGAUCAAUAUUUUCAUUCACGAUAGUAUCAUCAGCAAUGCUAUCCCAAAACGCUGUGAAACCCUCCAACCAAUUAUUCUUACCUGAAAUUGUCAUAUUCAAAAACUUAAUAUGAAUGCAUAUGUUUAUUAAAAUGAAAAUUAUAAAUGGCAUUCAAAUGAAGUUGGCCAAAACCUGCGCAGGUGGUUUCCAUUCUUGAAUUCAGAAAAGAUCUCUGCUUCGGAAUCAAAACUCAAAAGAAAUUAAUUAAGUUGCUUUUGCGAGUUCUUGCUUCUGGUUUGAAAUGAUAUACAUGUAUAUAUAGCGAUUGCCCACUCUGCUAUUUUGGUGGGUGGUUGGGACGUAGUUUAUGCAUUU
rnacentral:lncRNA from 1 species